rnacentral:lncRNA from 1 species
CAAAACAUGAGGAAUGUUAAGGGACAAACAGCAAAAGCUGAGAAAAUACAAGUGCAUAAAAAACAAACCGCUGGGAACAUAACAGCAAGCACAAAAAUCCAGCCAAACAAAAAGCUUAUAACAAAGGAGGAGAACGCAGGAAAAACACUAAGGGGGUAACAACAAAGGAGGACUACAAGUCACACAACAGCAAGUAGAAAUUAGCGCUGCAUACACUCCAACGGACACCAAUUCCAUUCAUACAGUACUAAAUCAACAAUGUGAAUUAAUAAGAGAGUAUGCAAAUAACAAGGAUCAACUAUCAUAACUUUCGGCAAGUUUCAAAAUUUACAGUUUCAUUGAUUCAACCAUUAUAAAUUUGAUAAG